UUUAAAUUUAUAUUUUUAUAUAUUAAUUUUAUAUUUUAAAAUUCAUAAUUAUAUAUAUUUUUAAAUUUAUAUUUAUAUUUUUUAAAUUUUAAAUUUCAUAAUUAUUUUAAAUUUUAAAAUUUUAUAUUAUUUUUUAAAUUAAAAUAUCAAAUUUUAAAUUUUGUACAAUUUUGAAAUUUAAAAUUUUCAAUUUUAAUUAAAAUUUAAAUUUAGAUUUUAAAUUAUUUUAAAAUAAAAUUUAAUAAAAAUAUUAAUUUAUGCAAACAUCAAACAAAUUUGCUAAACAGCUUUUCAAAAUCAAUUCAGAAAAAUCACUUUUAUCUAUACUCCGCCAAAUGUUUUACAGCUUUUAACCAAAAUCACUUCUCUAAACCAAAAUCACUUUUUCAGAAGCUAGGCCAAACAAGCCUUAUAACUUAGAGGCGGUUAUAACAACCAUCUCUACAAGCGCUUUUUUUAUAGUGUAGGAGUAGUCUACUUGCAAUCCUUUUUCUUUUUUCGCAUUUACUAUCUUUCUAGUAGUAGUCUGUAUGGUAGAUUUUUCUUUGAAAUUGUACGUCAUACUGGCGCACCGUCUUUUGUAAACAUUUUCCAAUUCUUAGCAAUACAAGCAUCAUUCAGCUCUUCAGUCGAACCAGAAAAUCCUAUGCAAUCUUUGUACUCAGCUGAUCCAGCCGAACCGAGAAAAUAUUGUGUAAUAUUGAACUCAGCUGAUCCGAUCCCUCAUCAGCCAAAUCGCUUGAUUCGACAAUGGGCGCACACUUCGAGAGUCACUUACAGCAACCGCUUUACCUCUUCGCACGCUUCCCGAAGGAGGGUUUUGAUCGAGUCAGUGGUCAAAGAAUUCGGCUCGCAGCAGGACCAUUUCUAAUCACUAAAAAAUCAUGUCGACAAAAAUUUCUAACGGAUUGCUGUUAAGCUCUAUUUUCACUGCUCGGAUAUCCGAAUAACACGAAACUUUAAAUUAUGCCUCAGAAAGUUAGUACAGAUAACUUUCAAGGUUUCAUAAUUUUUCGCUACUAAAUUUUCUGCUAAAAUACAAGCCCUCUUCCUUAUAAAAAAUUUCAAAUCUUCUCUUUUCAUUUCGAUUUCACCACAAAUUAUUUUCAAAUUAUCUUUUACUUCGUUAAGUCCAAUCAAAAUAGUAUCUCAUACUAUUUUUAUUUGAACUUGCUUAUAUAAUAAAAAUCUGAA
rnacentral:lncRNA from 1 species